rnacentral:rRNA from 1 species
GAUGAACGCUAGCGGGAGGCUUAACACAUGCAAGUCGAGGGGCAGCAUAGGGUAGCAAUACUCUGAUGGCGACCGGCAAACGGGUGAGUAACGCGUAUGUAACCUACCCUGUACAGGGGGAUAACCCGGAGAAAUUCGGACUAAUAUCCCAUAACAAUAUCCGGGGGCAUCUUUGGAUAUUUAAAGUUCCGGCGGUACGGGAUGGGCAUGCGUAACAUUAGCUAGUUGGUAAGGUAACGGCUUACCAAGGCUUUGAUGUUUAGGGGUCCUGAGAGGGUUGUCCCCCACACUGGUACUGAGACACGGACCAGACUCCUACGGGAGGCAGCAGUGAGGAAUAUUGGUCAAUGGGCGCAAGCCUGAACCAGCCAUCCCGCGUGAAGGAAGAAUGCGCUACGCGUUGUAAACUUCUUUUCCAGGGGAGAAUAAUCCUGUCGUGACAGGACUUGACGGUACUCUGGGAAUAAGCAUCGGCUAACUCCGUG